AUGAGCCACAUGCAGGGAAACUUGCACGUGUGGUUCUGCCGGGGCGGAGGGACGGAAAAAGAAACGGCUCCAAAGAAAAGAAUUGGGGUUCUGCGGCCGUUGCAGCUAAACUAACGGAGGAAGGAGGAGGGGAGGGGGGGACAUCAAAUGGAUUUUUGUUAACACCUCGGGACCUAGUGAUCGAUUCUUU
rnacentral:ncRNA from 1 species